rnacentral:tRNA from 1 species
AGCGGAGUGGAGCAGUCAGGAGUGCUCGUCGGGCUCAUAACCCGGAGGUCGGUGGUUCAAAUCCACUCUCCGCUACCA